AUGGCGCUCCCGCCGUGGUUUGGCCCGCUGACGGUCCUUCAGGAGGUCGAGCGGCUCACCAUCGAGGACAACAACAAUGCCACUCGGGGGUGGACCAGGGCACACAUCAAGAGUUCCUUGAUUGCCAGACGUCACGACGACCACCAGCAGCUGCCACAGGAGGAGUUCGACGCCGCGUUUCGGAGGGUAUUCUCUGACCUCCUCCGUGGAGACCACCUUGUCAAGGGAGUCAACCGGCAGCACUACAAGCUGCACACCGCCGUCCCGCAUCACCUCCCGUCAUGGUUUUGUAAGGACGCCGUCCUGCGGACUGUCGAAAUGCUCGACAAUAACAACAACGACGAUGGUGGGUCGACCUGGGCACAGAUCAGGAAUUCCUUGAUGGAAAGAUACCACCAGCAGGCGCAGCUGCUGCCGCCAAACUUCCACAGGUUGCUGCGCAAGAUGCUCUCCGUGCUCCGAAAGAGAGGCCACCUCACUAGGGGAGCCAAUGGCCCGCAGCACUACACGCGGCGGCAGGCUCCAGCAUUCAACGAGCGUCAUCCCAUUCCCUUGGAAGAAUUCCAGUUGGGCUAUUAUCUCGGCUACACCAUGGGGGGCACGCAGGGUUACAUCUAUGGCGAGUUCCAGGGCAUGAUGGUGGGCAUGGAAUUGGGCGGCGAUCAGGAUGAGGCGGCAUAG
rnacentral:rRNA from 1 species